rnacentral:Y_RNA from 1 species
GGCUGGUCAGGGUCCAGCGGCACUACAGCGAGCUGACCACGCCGGUCCAGACGCCUCUGCCUGUCCUCUCCAUCCCACUGCUUCACUGGACUGGCCUACA